AUUGAACGCUGGCGGCAGGCUUAACACAUGCAAGUCGAGCGGAGCGAGGGUGCUUGCACCUUAGCUUAGCGGCGGACGGGUGAGUAAUGCUUAGGAAUCUGCCUAUUAGUGGGGGACAACAUUCCGAAAGGAAUGCUAAUACCGCAUACGCCCUACGGGGGAAAGCAGGGGAUCUUCGGACCUUGCGCUAAUAGAUGAGCCUAAGUCGGAUUAGCUAGUUGGUGGGGUAAAGGCCUACCAAGGCGACGAUCUGUAGCGGGUCUGAGAGGAUGAUCCGCCACACUGGGACUGGAGCACGGCCCAGACUCCUACGGGAGGCGGCAGUGGGGAAUAUUGGACAAUGGGCGGAAGCCUGAUCCAGCCAUGCCGCGUGUGUGAAGAAGGCCUUUUGGUUGUAAAGCACUUUAAGCGAGGAGGAGGCUACUUAGAUUAAUACUCUGGGAUAGUGGACGUUACUCGCAGAAUAAGCACCGGCUAACUCUGUGCCAGCCGCCGCUGUAA
rnacentral:rRNA from 1 species